GACGAACGCUGGCGGCGUGCUUAACACAUGCAAGUCGAACGGAAAGGCCCUGCUUUUGUGGGGUGCUCGAGUGGCGAACGGGUGAGUAACACGUGAGUAACCUGCCCUUGACUUUGGGAUAACUUCAGGAAACUGGGGCUAAUACCGGAUAGGAGCUCCUGCUGCAUGGUGGGGGUUGGAAAGUUUCGGCGGUUGGGGAUGGACUCGCGGCUUAUCAGCUUGUUGGUGGGGUAGUGGCUUACCAAGGCUUUGACGGGUAGCCGGCCUGAGAGGGUGACCGGCCACAUUGGGACUGAGAUACGGCCCAGACUCCUACGGGAGGCAGCAGUGGGGAAUAUUGCACAAUGGGCGGAAGCCUGAUGCAGCAACGCCGCGUGCGGGAUGACGGCCUUCGGGUUGUAAACCGCUUUCGCCUGUGACGAAGCGUGAGUGACGGUAAUGGGUAAAGAAGCACCGGCUAACUACGUGCCAGCAGCCGCGGUGAUACGUAGGGUGCGAGCGUUGUCCGGAUUUAUUGGGCGUAAAGGGCUCGUAGGUGGUUGAUCGCGUCGGAAGUGUAAUCUUGGGGCUUAACCCUGAGCGUGCUUUCGAUACGGGUUGACUUGAGGAAGGUAGGGGAGAAUGGAAUUCCUGGUGGAGCGGUGGAAUGCGCAGAUAUCAGGAGGAACACCAGUGGCGAAGGCGGCUCUCUGGGCCUUUCCUGACGCUGAGGAGCGAAAGCGUGGGGAGCGAACAGGCUUAGAUACCCUGGUAGUCCACGCUGUAAACGGUGGGUACUAGGUGUGGGGUCCAUUCCACGGGUUCCGUGCCGUAGCUAACGCUUUAAGUACCCCGCCUGGGGAGUACGGCCGCAAGGCUAAAACUCAAAGGAAUUGACGGGGCCCCGCACAAGCGGCGGAGCAUGCGGAUUAAUUCGAUGCAACGCGUAGAACCUUACCUGGGUUUGACAUGGAUCGGGAGUGCUCAGAGAUGGGUGUGCCUCUUUUGGGGUCGGUUCACAGGUGGUGCAUGGCUGUCGUCAGCCCGUGUCGUGAGAUGUUGGGUUAAGUCCCGCAACGAGCGCAACCCUUGUUCACUGUUGCCAGCACGUUAUGGUGGGGACUCAGUGGAGACCGCCGGGGUCAACUCGGAGGAAGGUGGGGAUGACGUCAAGUCAUCAUGCCCCUUAUGUCCAGGGCUUCACGCAUGCUACAAUGGCUGGUACAGAGAGUGGCGAGCCUGUGAGGGUGAGCGAAUCUCGGAAAGCCGGUCUCAGUUCGGAUUGGGGUCUGCAACUCGACCUCAUGAAGUCGGAGUCGCUAGUAAUUGCAGAUCAGCAACGCUGCGGUGAAUACGUUCCCGGG
rnacentral:rRNA from 1 species